GACGAACGCUGGCGGCGUGCUUAACACAUGCAAGUCGAGCGAGGCCCGCUCUUCGGGGUGGUGCCCUAGCGGCGAACGGGUGAGUAACACGUGGGCAACCUGCCCUCAGCUCUGGGAUAACUCCAAGAAAUUGGUGCUAAUACCGGAUGUGACCGCUGACCGCAUGGUCUGGUGGUGGAAAGAUUUAUCGGCUGAGGAUGGGCCCGCGGCCUAUCAGCUUGNGGUGGGGUCACGGCCCACCAAGGCGACGACGGGUAGCCGGCCUGAGAGGGUGACCGGCCACACUGGGACUGAGACACGGCCCAGACUCCUACGGGAGGCAGCAGUGGGGAAUAUUGCGCAAUGGGCGAAAGCCUGACGCAGCGACGCCGCGUGA
rnacentral:rRNA from 1 species